rnacentral:rRNA from 1 species
UACAGAGGUCCCAAGCGUUGUUCGGAUUUACUGGGCGUAAAGAGCGUGUAGGCGGCUUGGAAGGUCAGCUGUGAAAACUCGAGGCUCAACCUCGAGACGUCGGUUGAAACCACCUGGCUAGAGUCCGGAAGAGGAGAGUGGAAUUCCCGGUGUAGCGGUGAAAUGCGCAGAUAUCGGGAAGAACACCCGUGGCGAAGGCGGCUCUCUGGGACGGUACUGACGCUGAGACGCGAAAGCGUGGGGAGCGAACGAGG